CGGCCCGUGCGAGACUUCAGACAACCCACCGAAGUCACUCUAGAUCUGGCGCUGGCUCACAUCGUAGACUUGGACGAGAAGGACCAGAUUUUGAAGGCAGAAGUAUGGUUAAGAAUGAAAUGGACCGACGAAUUCCUGACGUGGAAUGCAAGUGGGUACGGUGGGAUAGAGGCCAUCGCGACGCAAGCGGAGAGCAUCUGGAGACCGGACUUAUUCCUUUA